rnacentral:lncRNA from 1 species
GGGAAAUUCUGUUUUUCACCAAUGGCAGAAGGUUCUGACUCAUCUCCACCCAGACCAACAGGUUUCCUGGAGGCCUUGCUUCCCCAGACGGGGGGCUCCACCCAGUGACAGUGGACGGCCUUCUGGCUGUAGAAUCCAUCCGUCCGUGAGCACAGGCAGUGCCCAGGGUCU